CCCAAGGACCCAUGUCCAAUAGCGAGAAUGAAUGGCGGCGACUUCCGGGAGAAGCAGCGGGCACCCGGAUUGGGUUACCGCGGCGACGUCUGGCAAGAGAUGCAGAGAAUGGAAUCUAUGACCUUGAGAGUUUCAAACUCCAGGAGAACAAGCAACAGGGAGUACAAGAAAUCUAGAUCAAGUUUUGAACAAGCCAGCAUCAAUGCUACAGCAAGCAAGAGAUUAUUCAGGACUCCAUCCAGCCCAGCAAAAGGACUCCUCGGGCAGUGAUGGCCACUUUUGGCUAUGAACUUGGUGGGAUCAAUGCUAUGUAGGGACUGAAUUCAAUUUUGAACCUAAUUUCCAUUUCUUUCUCUUCUCCACCCCCUCCACUAAAAUGAUAUAAUGGGAAUUAUGAUCCAUGCAUGAUGUUGGGAGAAAUGUUUUUACAUUUGUUCUUGUUAUAUCGUUGAGAUAAAUAUCCCUUUGUAAAAGCUAUGUGUUACUAAGUGGUUAAGGGCUAGUCACUGUCCUCCUAAUAAACGGGGAAAAUAGCUGGUGCGAGUUUGAACCUAUAGCAAGAGAAAGAGACAUCUGAGGAGAAAAUAUAACCUGGCCCCAAGUGAAGCCAGAGCUUGUUUGUUGCUUUUGUUAUUCAGAACUUGACAGACAUUAACAAAAAUGAAUAUUUUUAUAUGAAAAUGUACAUGGUUCAUGAUACAGAUUCUCUGCAUGGUUUGGGUUCACUAUGAGAAUUCUGGAGCAGUUUUUGGUCAUGAAGUCAAUUGCUGAAGAGAUUUAGUGUUUUAAUAUGAUUUGAUAGACCCUUAGUGGUCCUUUAGUUGUCACGCACUCCCCACAACAGGUUUUUUUUUUUUGGGGGGGGGGGAAGGCAGCUCUGCACCUAUUAGAAGAAUUCAGUGUUCAGUUGGUAUUUUCUGGUUUAUAGAUCUCCAUGUGGUAUAACAUGAUUUCAGUGAAGGGCCCUCCUCUACCUUGACUAGGGUAAUCCUACCUGCAUAGCAAUUGAUACCAGAUACCACAACUGCCCAAGCAGGAAUCUGACUGCCAUUUUCUCUUCAAUGGUUGUUUUUUCCUGAUUUUGAAGACUGAGAAAACCAGAUGAACCUUGACAAUUUGAAAGUUUUACUCAUCGGGGAGUUGGCAGCAGCAUUGUCCUCCCAAGCCCCAUUUCCCAGUGAUGGUGUCUCAUGACAGGAUAAGUUUCUGCAUUGGGGAAAGCAGCCACCAAGAGGUCCCAGCUGAAGUGAAUGAAAAUACAGCUAAGUUGUGAUUAAUGCAUAUUGUAAAAUGGUACCGGGUCUCACUUAAUGCCAUAAUUCAAUUAAUAUGACAAGUGUGAAUUAGUCAAUUUGCACUUUCCUAUUAUUGAGUAUGGAUAUAAUAUACUGCUAUAUACCAUAUUACCAACAGUUGUGUUAAUUUUAAAAAAUAUAUUAACAAAAAGAACAAAAGGAAGAAUGUUUCCGAUGGAAAUAAUGUCAGCAUCAAAAGGAAGGGGCUCGCUAUUACAUUAGAACAAAAUUUUGAUGUAACUGAACAACAUGAACAUGGUCAUAGUAACUUUAAAAUAGGACACGAUGUCUGGAUGCCUGAAUCUAUAGUACAAAAUAUUAUAAAAUGCACAGGAAAAAUAAAAGAAAAAGACAAAUCUGUGUCAACUUUUUGUGGUUUGCAAACAGUUAUGAGGAAUAGAAGUGUUAGAACAGUAGAAAUAGAGUAUCUUUUAGCUGUAAGUAUUGAAGAUUGCAGUGAAAAACACAUUCUUCUUAGCAGAGCAGCUAUUCAGACAAAAGCUUCAAAUUUAAGGCAGGAAAAGAAAGUAGAAAUGAAGUGGCUAGUGAAGAAACUCAUACUGCAAGCAUUGGUUGUUGCUUGAGUUCAGGGGCAGCUAGUUGGUGUAGUGGAUAGAGUACCAGCCCUGAAGUCAGAAGGACCUGAAUUCAAAUCUUGCCUCAGAUAUUUAAUGCGUCCUGGCUAUGUUACCCUGGGCAAGUCACUUAACUCCAAUUGCCUCACUAAAAAAAAAAAAAAAAUUGAGUUCAAUUGCUUAACAUUAAAAUAGUAAAAGUGGCCAUUACAGAUUAGUUUAUGGAAUCUGUUUUAAUCUUUUAAAAGGCAAGUAAACUGAUCUAUAAUUUUUUAAUAUGGAUAAAGACCACUUAUUUUGGAAAAGGAUAUGUUCUACAACUUACAUUUCUAACAAAAAAUAAAACAAAACUCAAUUUGAACCUGAAGUACUUUCAGUACUUUGAUAGGCAAAUAAGAAAGCAUGGUGAUAAAAGCUGCUUUCAAAAAAGUUUUUUUUUUAAGUACAGCUUUUUAUUUACAAAACAUAUACAUAGGUAAUUUUUCAACACUGACCCUUGAAAAAUCUUCUCUUCCAAAUUUUCCCCUCCUCCCCAUCCCCUCCCUUAGGUAACAGGUAGUCCAAUACAUGUUAAAUAUGUUAAAGUAUAUGUUAAAUCCAAUAUACGUAUACAUAUCUAUACAGUUAUUUUGCUGCACGAGAAAAAUCAGAUCUAGAAAGAGAAAAAAACCUGAAAAGGAAAACAAAAAUGCAAGCAAACAACAAUAAAAGAAGUGAAAAUGCUAUGUUCUGAUCCACACUCAGUUCCCACAGUCCUCUCUCUCGGUGUAAAUGGUUCUCAUCACAAGAUCAUUGGAACUGGCCUGAAUCAUCCCAUUAUUGAGAAGAGCCACGUCCAUCAGAAUUGAUCGCGGUAUAAUUGUUGUUGCCAUGGACAAUAAUUUCCUGGUUCUGCUCAUUUCACAUAGCAUCAGUUCAUGUAAGUCUCUCCAGAUCUCUCUGAAAUCAUCCUGCUGGUCAUUUCUUACAGAACAAUAAUAUUCCAUAACAUUCAUAUACCAUAAUUUAUUCAGCCAUUCACAAACAUUUUUACACAUGUGGGUCCCUUUCCCUCCUUUAAGAUCUCUUUGGGAUAUAAGUCCAGUAGAAACACUGCUGGACCAAAGGAUAUGCACAGUUUGAUAACUUUUUGAGUAUAGUUCCAAAUUGCUCUCCAGAAUGGGUAGACUAGUUCACAACUCCACCAACAAUGUAUCAGUGUCCCAGUUUUCCCACAUCCCCUCCAAUAUUCAUCAUUAUUUUUCCUGUCAUCUUAGCCAAUCCGAGAGGUGUAUAGUGGUAUCUCAGAGUUAUCUUAAUUUGCAUUUCUCUGAUCAGUAGUGAUUUGGAGCACCUUUUCAUGUGACUAGAAAUAGUUUCUUCAUCUGAAAAUUGUCUGUUCAUAUCCUUUGACCAUUUAUCAAUUGAAGAAUAGCUUGAUUUCUUGUAAAUUUGAGUCAAUUCUCUAUAUAUUUUGGAAAUGAGGCCUUUAUCAGAACCUUUGAAUGUAAAAAUAUUUUCCCAGUUUACAAAAAAACAGUUUUCAGGGGUUUUUACAGCCAGCUGUCCUAAAAAACUGUAUAUGUAAAAUAUGUAUGUAUAGUGGGCACAUAGUAUAUUUCUGGCCCAAAUGUGGAAUCUGGCACACUACAUCUCCAAAAAGAGCACAGAAUGGGAAUCAGGUUAUAUGACAAACCUUCCAGCAGCCUAUCUGUGGAGAGGAAAGCAGAUUCUGGACUUUUCUCCAAAAGGAGUAUCAGGCUAGAAUUUUAAGGACUGUUCCAAAAAUUUAAAUACAGUUUUAAGUCAUUUUAAGCUAUUAAAGCUUAAAACUAGACAAAGACAGAGCACUCUGUUGUCUACCACACAAACUCUGUAGACUGGAUGUACAUUAGGGUAGAAUAAAAGGCACUUUCCCUCAUUGCUUUCAAAAGGAUGAUAACACCUAACUUACUACCAACAGUUUAGUUCCUUCUCACCAAAUACUAGUAAAAGAUCAAUAAAGCUAUUUAUCAAAGUAAGCAGUAAGUGGUAAUCAGAGAAGAUAUAAAGAUUAGAAUAAACUCUUCCCCACUGUCACUUCCAAAAAAUAAAUCAGAUAAAUGCCUUCUUCAAAUGGGAAAGAGAAAAGUCUCAGCUCAGUUAAAAACUCUCCCCAGGAAGUCUAGUCUUAGUCUCUGAUAGAAUAACCAAAAACCAAAUAGUAUACUGGGGGGAAGCAGAGCUGUUUCCCCAAAUACCUAAGGCUCUUAAAUCUCCAAUCUAUAAAUUGAAAGUCUGAGCUUUGCCUCUCAUGAUUAUCUUCGACUCCUCCUCUGUUGCUUACCCUAUAAACUAUCAUGGAGGUCUCUCAACAAUCAGCAGUUUACAUUCCUUUUUGUACAUGCAACAUCACAAAAACUAUCCCCCAGAAUAUAUUUGAGUAGAAGUGGAGUUAAACAUAUGUAAAAUCAGUGAUCUCUAUUAUGCAUUUUGUUAAGUAUUUAGUAAACUUGACAUGUUUCAAAACUCUCCUUGUUUCUCUCAGAACUGCCUUAUGUUCUUUCCUAUGCAUUUUAAAAAUUAAAUUCUUCAGUGAUGCUUUUUUUAUUAUUAUAUUAGUUCCCCAUUUCCCCCAAAUUCUGUCCCUAACUUUUAAAAAGGCUUUCCUUGUUACAAAUAAGCAGAGAUAAGCAAAACAAAUCCACACGUUGGUCAUAUCUGAAAACCUAUACUUAUUCUGUAACUCUUUUCAUCUCUCUGAUAGCAGGUGGUUAAUAACUUUUAUUAUCAGUCCUAUGUAUUGUAUUGAUCAGAGUUCUUAAGUUGUUUUUCUUCACAAUGCUAUAGUCAUAUAAAUUAUUCUUCAGGUUUUGUUUACUUCAUUCUGCAAAGUUCAUACGUGUUUUCCCAGAUUUCUCUGAAUCUAUCCAUUAAGUAAUUUCCUAGAAUGAAAUAAUAUUUGACCAUAUUCCUACACUAUAACUUGCUCAACCAUUUCCCAAAUGACAUAUACACACUUUGUUUCCAGUUCUUUUAUAUUUUCGAACACAUGAGCCCUUUCCCUCUUUCUGUAAUCUUUUUGAGGUACAAGCUAGAAGUGAUAUUGCUAGAUCAAAGUGGUGUACUCCAGAGGUAUCAAACAGGUGAUUGGCAAGCUUGUUUGCAUGUGACCUACACCACUGUUUUAAUAUAGCCCACAUGAGAUUAGCAUGUAUUUAGAAAAUAUUUAACAAAAUUAACAAAAAUACAACAAACCAUAUUAUAUUUUAAAAUUAAGUCAAUAUGUAGCCCAUAGGGAUCCUUAUGAAUGGUUUAGUGACCCCUGUUUCUACUUUAAUGUGAUAUCACUGGUAUCCACAGAUGAAUGACUUUAGGAAUAUUAUUCCAAAUGACUUUCCAGAAUCUAUAUUUAUUUAUUCAAAAAUUUAUGGUUAAUGUCAACUCAAGACAAGUUAACAGAUAACUUAGUCUAUAUUGUGUAUAUAGCAAGGCAAGAGAAAAAUACAGUGCUGCUUGCAUGUUUUAAAAGUAAUGACUUUAAAAAUUAAAGAUGAAUGUUGAUAUUUUAAAAAUGUAUUUGGUGAAAAAACAUAGAAGAUAAAAUCUUAGCUAAGUUUUUUUGAGUAUUAUAUAAAUAUAUAUAUGUAUACAGACACACACACAUAUAUACAUGCACCUGUACACAUACACACACACACACACACACACACACACACAUACAUGUUUCUAGAAGUGUAUGGGAUGUUCAGGAGGAUUAGUAUCUCUGCUGUGAGGGCUUACUGAGCCCUUUUCAGUGUAACUCAUUCACCUUUGGUGUUCAUUUACUAUCCAACUUUCACCUGUGGCCCAAGAAGCUGUAGCAUGCACAACAGUCACAACUCUGUAAAACCUUGGCAGAAGAGCUAAACCAGAUUGAGGGUAACCAACAGACCUCAAAUCAUUCAUUGAUUUAGGGGGAUGUCUAUCCAAGCACAUGAAGACUUCUCCUUAGUGGAAUGGGUAAAUGAGAAAAAUUUGUUCUAGUAGCCAUAAAAGCAGAGAAAGCAGGCACUGUGGAUCAUUUAAGAAUUUGGUCAGGCAUUAAAGACAUCAAGGUCAUCCACUGCAUCCCAAGAUGUUGCCAGUUAUCGACUUUUAUCUUGCCACUGAACUUCAGAUUCUGGAAGAGAGAAUUAGGCUAGUGACUUUGUGCAAUUUUGUCUCACUUAAAUCCUAUUCACUCACAAGUCAAAACAUCACUCCAUGAUGUCUUUGGACCCAUUAGAAAAAAAGAACAAACAACAAACAACCUUGAUUAUAAAUAUUAUGUUGUGGUCAGCAAGACUGCAUUUAAUAUUUCUGCAUUUGCAUAUGUCCUAAGAUGGUCAAUUUUUGCAAAGAUACCAUUCAUAUCUAAGAAAUAUGUAUAUUAAUUUCUAUUUCCAUUCAGUAAUUUCCAGCAAUCUCUUAUUUCUAACUUUCACAAAUUCUAUUCAGAUAAAUAAUUUCUUUUUUGUUUAUCUUCUUGAUUAAAUUUGUCUAGUUCUGAAAGAAACAUCAAGAUUUCCAACUUUUAUGGUUUUAUCACAGUUUGAUUAACUUUUUCUUUUAAUGCUAAGUUUAGAUGCUAAGUUUGGCCCACAUAUAUUAAGUACUGCUAUAAAUUCAUUGUCUAUGGUCGUUAAACAAAAUGUAACAUCUCCUUUCUUUACUCAAAUAUAUUUUCACUAUUUCUUUAUCUAAAAUAAUGAAUUUGUUAACCUUGCUUUUAUUUAAAGUUCACUUAAAGUAUAAUAAAUUUUGCUUUAGUCCCUCA